rnacentral:rRNA from 1 species
UAGAAUUGACGGGGCCGCACAAGCGGCGGAGCAUGCGGAUUAAUUCGAUGCAACGCGAAGAACCUUACCAAGGCUUGACAUACACCGGUAACGCCCAGAGAUGGGUGCCCCUUUGUGGUCGGUGUACAGGUGGUGCAUGGUUGUCGUCAGCUCGUGUCGUGAGAUGUUGGGUUAAGUCCCGCAACGAGCGCAACCCUCGUCCUAUGUUGCCAGCGGGUCAUGCCGGGGACUCAUGGGAGACUGCCGGGGUCAACUCGGAGGAAGGUGGGGAUGACGUCAAAUCAUCAUGCCCCUUAUGUCUUGGGCUUCACGCAUGCUACAAUGGCCGGUACAAAGGGCUGCGAUACCGCGAGGUGGAGCGAAUCCCAGAAAGCCGGUCUCAGUUCGGAUUGGGGUCUGCAACUCGACCCCAUGAAGUCGGAGUCGCUAGUAAUCGCAGAUCAGCAACGCUGCGGUGAAUACGUUCCCGGGCCUU